GACCUAAUCCACUCAAAGAUCGAAAACAUCAAGUAAAUAGAUAUUGAGAUGGUCUACUCUAGGUCGGUCGCAGAGAUUGUUGAGGCUUUCAAACUAUGAUGAGGUUCAAAUUUUGGGCUAUUAGCUCAGGUGGUUAGAGCGCACCCCUGAUAAGGGUGAGGUCCCUGGUUCGAGUCCAGGAUGGCCCACCUGAAAAAUUAUGAAUGAUAAAUUAUAAAUUCUGAAAAGCUAAUUCAUAAUUAAUAAUUGAGAAUUCAUAAUUUUAUGGGGGUUUAGCUCAGUUGGUAGAGCGCCUGCUUUGCAAGCAGGAUGUCAGCGGUUCGAGUCCGCUAACCUCCACAUAUCAUAUUCGGCUGUGACAGUCAUCAAAGUGAAUCCAUUGAUAGCAAGAAAAAGCUAGAGAUGAUAGAUUAGCAUUUGUGGCGACAGAGAGAGUAUGGUAGAAUAAAAGAUUGUGAGAGAAUUCAGCAACAUGGCAUUGAGCCAGACUGCUGGAAUGCUCCAGCCAGAACCUUGAAAACUGCAUAGUAACGCGAAAAAAGCAGGCAGACACAGACAUUCAGUGAAUGAAAUGUGUUUGCAGUGGUGAAAACCAAAUGAAUUGUGGUCAAGCUAAUAAGGGCUGAUGGUGGAUACCUAGGCACACAGA
rnacentral:tRNA from 1 species